rnacentral:tRNA from 1 species
GCGCCUCUAGCUCAACGGCAGAGCAAUGGACUCUUAAUCCACAGGUUGGGGGUUCGAAUCCCCCGGGGCGCACCA